UACGGAGGGUGCGAGCGUUGUCCGGAAUCACUGGGCGUAAAGGGCGCGUAGGCGGCAUGCCAAGCGUGUGGUGAAAGCCCGGGGCUCAACCCCCGGGUCGGCCGUGCGGACUGGCGUGCUCGAGCACUGUAGGGGCGGGUGGAAUUCCGGGUGGUAGCGGUGGAAUGCGUAGGAGAUCCGGAAGAACACCGGUGGCGAAGGCGGCCCGACUGG
rnacentral:rRNA from 1 species